UCCGGCGUGCUUGCCUCCUCUAACUCAACCUAAAGCUUUGGCAAUGAAUUUUAUAUGGACUGAUUAGGCAGAAAAAACGUUUCAAACAGCGUAUUUCUCCGCACUACACGAAAGACUACAUUGAGAAUUUUAUUAGGGAUCCCAACACGCAAAUCGUGCGGAACAGAGACCUUGAUGAACCCGACUCUGUGAUAUUCCAAAGAAGGCUACCGACUGGCGCUGUUCAUCGGGUCGUAGUGUAUCCAUCAAGGUCUGGGAGCUGGAGAAUAGUGACUAUUGAAUACGUGAAGAGAGGCGACCGUUAUUGGAACAAAGAUGUUGUCCCUGGGGAGCAACAGCUUGAGGUAUGACAAGGCUGCUGCAUCUAGACCUUGUGUCUUUUUGCAGUCGGGGUUUGGCUGACAUAGUUUGUAACGGUUCCAUGCAGCUUCGGGAUCAACUCGCUCACGCCGCUGGGCUACAAGAAGACCUCGGCGCAGCAUCGGCAGCCCAACAAGUCCUCUAGCG
rnacentral:lncRNA from 1 species